AGUGAACGCUGGCGGUAGGCCUAACACAUGCAAGUCGAACGGCAGCACAGUAAGAGCUUGUUCUUACGGGUGGCGAGUGGCGGACGGGUGAGGAAUACAUCGGAAUCUACUUUUUCGUGGGGGAUAACGUAGGGAAACUUACGCUAAUACCGCAUACGACCUACGGGUGAAAGCAGGGGAUCUUCGGACCUUGCGCGAUUGAAUGAGCCGAUGUCGGAUUAGCUAGUUGGCGGGGUAAAGGCCCACCAAGGCGACGAUCCGUAGCUGGUCUGAGAGGAUGAUCAGCCACACUGGAACUGAGACACGGUCCAGACUCCUACGGGAGGCAGCAGUGGGGAAUAUUGGACAAAGGGCGCAAGCCUGAUCCAGCCAUACCGCGUGGGUGAAGAAGGCCUUCGGGUUGUAAAGCCCUUUUGUUGGGAAAGAAAAGCAGCAGGUUAAUACCCCGCUGUUCUGACGGUACCCAAAGAAUAAGCACCGGCUAACUUCGUG
rnacentral:rRNA from 1 species